AUGACAUUCACAGCUUCACCUUCCCUGGAGCUCAUCCAGAGCUCAAGCCCCCGCAGCAGGGGCACAAAAUGCCACCUCUGGCCACCCGCCCUGCCCAGGACGGGGACCCCCCCGGACCCAAAGCGGAGGGCGGGCGGGGAGGACGCAGCCUCACCCAGCUGCUACGGCUGGCCCCAAAGGGGGGAUCUGGGCAGCGGCCGGGGAUCGAGGCCGGGCCUAAGCCCCCCGCCAGGGCGCUGCCCCCCGCCGUGCAGGCCGCGCCGCAGCCCCGCUGCCUCCGCAGGGCCUGGCGCCGCCGCGGGCUCGGGGAGCGGCGCAAACAAAGGGAGAGGAGAGGAGAGGCCGGGGCCGUGGCUCGGCAGGAGGCAGGCGGGCGAGCCGAACCUCGCGCCGGGCCCAUCGCCGGCUCUACCCCCGCGGCCACCGGCGGACGGGACGGGACGGGACGGGACGGGGCGGGAGGGAGGAGGGGGCGGCCGGGCUCGGCGCGCCCGCUGCCCGGGGACGCUCACCCAGCGGAGGCCGCGGUGCCCCGCUCCCGGCGCGGGCCUCUCCUUCCCCGGGCACCUCGGCGGCGCGGCCCGGCCUGCGCCGGCAUCCGGGCUGGGCGGCGAGCAGCCUCCCAGGCGACAGAGCGGGACUCACCGAGCCGGAGGAGGAGGAGGAGGAGGAGCUGGUGCUGAUGUUGCUCCGGCGGGGCCCGGCCCGGCUCCGGCUCCCUCCGUCCCUCCCUCACCGUGCCGCCGCCGCCUCCCUGUUCCUGGCGCCGCCGCCGCUUCCUCCGCCUCCUCUGCCCCCACCCCUCCGUCCUCCGAGGGGCGCACGGGGGCGGCGAGCCCGCGAUGGCCACAGCCUGCCGCAGGCCGCGUUCAGCCCGGCGGCGGGUGCGGCGGGGCCCGGGUCGCCCGCCCUCCUCCUGCCGAGUCCUGCCUCCGCCUCCCCGCUUGCCCCGGCCGGGGCGGCCGGGCCCCUUCUUCUCUUCCUUUCCCUUCCCUUCGUUCCCUUCCCCGCCGCAGGGCUCCGCCGCUCCGCGCCGUGGGGCUCGGGCAGGCCGCGGGGAGCCUGCGGGGGGCGGCCGGCGCCUGCUCGGGGCCUUCCCUAGCGCCCGGCCCCCUUUCUCCCCCGGCUGCUGAAGGCUCUCCUUGCCUGUGGAACCUCAUAAAUAAAGUGCACAGCGAGCUAUUUUAUUUAUUUUCUCUCUGCGUGUCUCUUUCUUUCCCUAGUUUUUGGGCGACUCCGCUCGUGCUGCACCCCCUGAGGAGCUCCCCACACACACCCCCAGAGGCUGACCCCUCCGGUGUCUCCGUGCCCUCUUCGCCUCCCUCGGCCUGA
rnacentral:lncRNA from 1 species